CCAGGCUUACAGAUAGAACUGCAAAAAAAAGAGAUUCACAGGUGUCACAACAUAGUGAAAGCAAAAUAAAAUAUUUAUUGGAGAUCAAAAAGGACAAAAAUAUAUGGCCUCAGGUCGAAACGUUGUAUUUCUUUUGUCCUUUUUGAUCUCCAAUAAAUAUUUUUGUGACUUUAUCCUGCGUUGUGACGCCUGUAGACCUCUAUAUUUCUUGAUCCUGGUGGACUGCAGACC